GGUGCACAUGAUGACAUUGUUCAGCGACCAAAGUCUGACAAAAAUGAUUGCUACUUGAUUGUCUGACGCACC
ensembl:snoRNA small nucleolar RNA, C/D box 4A